GGAAACUCCUCCUGACUGUCCCCUUCCUGAAGCCACAAGAAUAGAAGCCUUCCAUCAAGUUUGCCAAGUACAUAAACGCCUCGUGAAAACGGGAUUUUAAGGACAUCGACUGAGAGAUGAAUACCAUAUCUUGGUCAACAGAACAGAACAAAGGCUGCCCACAUGGGAUGUCUUGAUAAGCCAUCACUGGAACUUAGCAGGAACAGGAGUUCGGCAUCAGAGCUGCAGCGACCAACAACAUUCCAGAUGGUGAACCUGAGUAUCCGAGAGAGGCCAGUGUGGAGCGGAGACCCCACCAACCCACAGUGGAUGUGAAGCAUGUGUG
rnacentral:lncRNA from 1 species